AAAGAAUUUUUUUUAGCGCAACACCCUAAUUAUCAGCCUCCAAUUCAAGAGAAUGACUAUUCAGAUCCUUGAUUAUACCAUAGAAAAUGGACUUUUGGCUAUUUAAGGAUUUUCAAGUGAUGAUAACAAACUCAUUUAGAACAUAUUUUGGAUGCUGAAAUUUGCAAAAA